rnacentral:rRNA from 1 species
UACGUAGGGUGCGAGCGUUGUCCGGAAUUAUUGGGCGUAAAGAGCUCGUAGGCGGCUUGUCACGUCGGGGGUGAAAGCCCGGGGCUUAACCCCGGGUCUGCAUUCGAUACGGGCAGGCUAGAGUGUGGUAGGGGAGAUCGGAAUUCCUGGUGUAGCGGUGAAAUGCGCAGAUAUCAGGAGGAACACCGGUGGCGAAGGCGGAUCUCUGGGCCAUUACUGACGCUGAGGAGCGAAAGCGUGGUGAGCGAACAGG